CCCUUAGAUGUUCGGGGCCGCACGCGCGCUACACUGAAGGAAUCAACGUGUGUCUCUCCUGUCUCGAGAGGGACGGGCAACCAGUUGAACCUCCUUCGUGCUAGGGAUUGGGGCUUGUAAUUCUUCCCCCUGAACGAGGAAUUCCCAGUAAGCGCGAGUCAUAAGCUCGCGUUGAUUACGUCCCUGCCCUUUGUACACACCGCCCGUCGCUACUACCGAUUGAGUGGUCCGGUGAGGCUUUGGGAUCUGAGCGGAAAGAGCGUUUCGCUGUUUCUGCCCGGAAAACUCAGUCGAACCUUAUCAUUUAGAGGAAGGAGAAGUCGUAACA
rnacentral:rRNA from 1 species